rnacentral:rRNA from 1 species
CCUACGGGGGGCAGCAGUGGGGAAUAUUGCACAAUGGGGGAAACCCUGAUGCAGCGACGCCGCGUGAGUGAAGAAGUAUUUCGGUACGUAAAGCUCUAUCAGCAGGGAAGAAAAUGACGGUACCUGACUAAGAAGCCCCGGCUAACUACGUGCCAGCAGCCGCGGUAAUACGUAGGGGGCAAGCGUUAUCCGGAUUUACUGGGUGUAAAGGGAGCGUAGACGGCAGCGCAAGUCUGGAGUGAAAUCCCAUGGCUUAACCAUGGAACUGCUUUGGAAACGGUGCAGCUAGAGUGCAGGAGAGGUAAGCGGAAUUCCGAGUGUAGCGGUGAAAUGCGUAGAUAGUAGGAGGAACACCAGUGGCGAGGGCGGCUUACUGGACUGUAACUGACGUUGAGGCUCGAAAGCGUGGGGAGCAAACAGGAUUAGAUACCCUGGUAGUC